UACGUAGGGGGCAAGCGUUGUCCGGAAUCAUUGGGCGUAAAGAGCGUGUAGGCGGCCCGGUCAGUCCGCCGUGAAAGUCCAGGGCUCAACCCUGGAAUGCCGGUGGAUACUGCCGGGCUGGAGUCCGGAAGAGGCGAGUGGAAUUCCUGGUGUAGCGGUGAAAUGCGCAGAUAUCAGGAGGAACACCAAUUGCGAAGGCAGCUCGCUGGGACGUAACUGACGCUGAGACGCGAAAGCGUGGGGAGCAAACAGG
rnacentral:rRNA from 1 species